UCGCGUCGUUUCUCCACUGCUGAGGGUC
rnacentral:sRNA from 1 species